UUAACUAUUAUAUAGUUCUCAGACAAUACAAAAUUUAGAGUUUAGGGUCCUCUGGCGGGCACUCACUAGCUAGAAGCCAGUGGCCGUAGCGGCCCGCCAAAGCAACAAUGGUAAGAUAUUCAAGGGUGGGAGAUCUACCCGUGAGGGCAUGAACUCUGUAAUGAUCCUUCCGCAGGUUCACCUACGGAAA
rnacentral:misc_RNA from 1 species